rnacentral:rRNA from 1 species
GACGAACGCUGGCGGCGUGCUUAACACAUGCAAGUCGAACGGAAAGGCCCUGCUUUUGUGGGGUGCUCGAGUGGCGAACGGGUGAGUAACACGUGAGUAACCUGCCCUUGACUUUGGGAUAACUUCAGGAAACUGGGGCUAAUACCGGAUAGGAGCUCCUGCUGCAUGGUGGGGGUUGGAAAGUUUCGGCGGUUGGGGAUGGACUCGCGGCUUAUCAGCUUGUUUGUGGGGUAGUGGCUUACCAAGGCUUUGACGGGUAGCCGGCCUGAGAGGGUGACCGGCCACAUUGGGACUGAGAUACGGCCCAGACGCCUACGGGAGGCAGCAGUGGGGAAUAUUGCACAAUGGGCGGAAGCCUGAUGCAGAAACGCCGCGUGCGGGAUGACGGCCUUCGGGUUGUAAACCGCUUUCGCCUGUGACGAAGCGUGAGUGACGGUAAUGGGUAAAGAAGCACCGGCUAACUACGUG